AUUGAACGCUGGCUGCAGGCCUAACACAUGCAAGUCGAACGAGUGGCGGACGGGUGAGUAAUGUCUGGGAAACUGCCUGAUGGCGGGGGAUAACUACUGGAAACUGUAGCUAAUACCGCAUACCCUCGGAGGUGCCCAGAUGGGAUUGGCUAGUAGGUGGGGUGAAGGCUCACCUAGGCGCCGAGCCCUAGCUGGUCUGAGAGGAUGAUCAGCCACAUUGGAACUGAUACACGGUCGAGACUCCUACGGGAGGCAGCAGUGGGGAAGAUUGCACAAUGGGUGCAAGCCUGAUGCAGCCAUGCCGCGUGUAUGAAGAAGGCCUUCGGGUUGUAAAGUACUUUCAGCGGGGAGGCGUUACCCGCAGAAGAAGCACCGGCUAACUCCGUGCCAGCAGCCGCGGUAAUUC
rnacentral:rRNA from 1 species